rnacentral:rRNA from 1 species
UACCAGCACCCCGAGUGGUUGGGACGAUUAUUGGGCCUAAAGCCUCCGUAGCCGGUCCUACAAGUCUUCCGUUAAAUCCACCUGCUUAACAGAUGGGCUGCGGAAGAUACUAUAGGGCUAGGAGGCGGGAGAGGCAAGCGGUACUCAGUGGGUAGGGGUAAAAUCCUCUGAUCCAUUGAAGACCACCAGUGGCGAAGGCGGCUUGCCAGAACGCGCUCGACGGUGAGGGAUGAAAGCUGGGGGAGCAAACCGG